ACGGCGAGUGAAGCGGCAACAGCUCAAAUUUGAAAUCUGGCCCCCGGGUCCGAGUUGUAAUUUGUAGAGGAUGCUUUUGGUGAGGUACCUUCCGAGUUCCCUGGAACGGGACGCCAUAGAGGGUGAGAGCCCCGUCUGGUCGGAUACCGAUCCUCUGUAAAGCUCCUUCGACGAGUCGAGUAGUUUGGGAAUGCUGCUCUAAAUGGGAGGUAUAUGUCUUCUAAAGCUAAAUAUUGGCCAGAGACCGAUAGCGAACAAGUAGAGUGAUCGAAAGAUGAAAAGCACUUUGGAAAGAGAGUUAAAUAGUAUGUGAAAUUGUUGAAAGGGAAGCGCUUGUAAUCAGACUUGUUUAUAGGAGUUCAACUUGGCUUCUGUCUUGUGUACUCUCCUAUAUACAGGCUAGCAUCAGUUUGGAUGGUAGGAUAAAGAUGUUGGGAACGUAGCUUCUUUUCUUCGGGAUUGAAGUGUUAUAGCCCGAUGUGUCAUACUAUCAAUCUGGACUGAGGAUCGCACUUUAUUGUACGGAUGC
rnacentral:rRNA from 1 species